CUAACAAGGAUUCCCCUAGUACUGCGAUGAACGGGAAAGCUCAAAUUUAAAAUCUGCGUCCUUGGGCGUCCGAGUUGUAGUUUAGAGAAGCGCUUUCCGCGCCGGACCGUGUACAAGUCUCCUGGAACGGAGCGUCGUAGAGGGUGAGAAUCCCGUCUUUGACACGGACCGCCGGUGCUUUGUGAUGCGCUCUCGAAGAGUCGAGUUGUUUGGGAAUGCAGCUCAAAAUGGGUGGUGAAUUCCAUCUAAAGCUAAAUAUUGGCGAGAGACCGAUAGCGAACAAGUACCGUGAGGGAAAGAUGAAAAGCACUUUGGAAAGAGAGUUAAACAGUACGUGAAAUUGUUGAAAGGGAAACGCUUAAAGUCAGUCGCGUUCGCCGGGACUCAGCCUUGCUUCGGCUCGGUGUACUUCCCGGUGGAUGGGCCAGCGUCAUUUUCGAUUGUCGGAAAAGGGCGGGGGAAAGGUGGCACCUUCGGGUGUGUUAUAGUCCCUUGUCGUAUGCGACGGUCGGGAGUGAGGAACUCAGCGCGCCUUACGGUCGGGGUUCGCCCACGUUCGCGCUUAGGAUGCUGGCGUAAUGGCUUUAAACGACCCGUCUUGAAACACGGACCAAGGAGUCUAACAUGCCCGCGAGUGUUCGGGUGGAAAACCCGUGCGCGUAAUGAAAGUGAAAGUUGGGACCUCUGUCGUGGAGGGCACCGACGCCCGGACCAGACCUUCUGUGACGGAUCUGCGGUAGAGCGUGUAUGUUGGGACCCGAAAGAUGGUGCCCCUAUGCCUGAAUAGGGUGAAGCCAGAGGAAACUCUGGUGGAGGCUCGUAGCGAUU
rnacentral:rRNA from 1 species